rnacentral:rRNA from 1 species
GGCGAACGGGUGAGCAACACGUGGGUGAUCUGCCCUGCACUUCGGGAUAAGCCUGGGAAACUGGGUCUAAUACCGGAUAGGAGCCAUUUUUAGUGUGAUGGUUGGAAAGUUUUUUCGGUGUAGGAUGAGCUCGCGGCCUAUCAGCUUGUUGGUGGGGUAAUGGCCUACCAAGGCGGCGACGGGUAGCCGGCCUGAGAGGGUGGACGGCCACAUUGGGACUGAGAUACGGCCCAG